CUUGCUCUCAUACACAUGCCAUGCAUUAUCUGGCUUCUUCUCUCCCUCCCACGAAAAGAGUUUCGUAGAGCCGAAAGGCUGUCUGGGUUCCGGUGGGAACUAGUUCUGGACGGCGAAGCCCUGCCGGAUAGAUGACACCGUAUGUGUGCAACUCUGUAGAGAGAUCGUAGUUUCGGUCUUAGUUCGUGAAUGCCUCCCAAAGGGCUAUCCAUGUGACCGUCCGAGUUUCGAAGGUCCUCCCGAAGGGCUGUCCGAGUGACCGUUCGAGUUUCGAAGGUCCUCCCGAAGGGCUGUCCGCGACACCGUCCGGAGGGCUGUUCGACCGCCUCCCGGAGGGCUGUCCGAGGAGCAGAUGAGGGUAUACAUCCUCGCGGUUGGGAGGUUGUAAAUCCUAGCUGCGGGGAUCUGCACUGCCGAUCGUCAUCGACUCUACUUCCCGCUGCGCUACGAGUCGGUAACGAAAAAGAUCAAACCAUGUAUGCAGUCUCCAUAGUGGUCCUGGGCUGGUGCGUAGGUCGGAAAAUUUUUGUUUUCUGCUGCGUUACCCUACAGUGGCAUCAAGAGCCGUGCUAUGCGUAGAUGCAGGUUUCGAUCUAGAAUACAUGGAGAUGUAUGGGUAUUGCAUAAUAUAAUUAGGUAGUAGAUGAGAUCUAUUGCUGAAAAUUAUUUAUGCGGGUGACAGAUGAAAUCUGUUACCCGAGGUUCUUGUUGCUUCCCUAGAAUUUGCGUUUGCUCAAUCUCGAGACAGCAUGGUGGAAUUUGACAAAGUUCUGGCAAUCCGUGAUCCUGAUUGAUCAUGGAAGUGCUAUCAGUUCUUUGGGUUCUGCCGUAGUCAAAAGAAAGAUGAAAUUCGCAAAUGAAAGGGCAUUGCAGAUAUGAUUUGCACGGGGGUCAUGCGUAUGACAAAGUUUAGUAUGGGGCUCGAGAUUUAAUUAUCCCGUGUUUCAUACACCCCAAGAUGUUAAUCUAGCAACCUGAAUAAUCAUACUUGAUGAUAAAAUGUUGGUAGCUGCGGUUUAAGUCAAAACCUUAGAAGCCACGUAAAAUAAAUUUUGCAUAAACCGAUUAGAGGCGUCUAACUUGGUUUUGCAGGAUGUGCAUGUGAUGUGGUAUAGCAGUGCUCAUACUAAUUCGAUUAUGUAUGAGAUGACUAUAUGAUGUAAUUUGGUUAACAUGACCUGCGUGUCAUGAUUUGGCAUGAUGGCUAGAGCCAUAUGAUUGCACUUUAAUGACCUGCGUGUCAACCUUGUUGUAAUGCAUUAUUUUGUUAGCUAUAGAGAUAGCAAUAUUAUCUGGUGCAUCGACAAGGUGGUGGCAAUCUUCGCGAAGGUGAACACCGACGCGAAUGCCGAAGACGAAGAAAUGAAAUACUUCUCCGUCGGAAAGGGCUAUACCAUAUCAUGCUAUUAUGAAUUGCCUGAGAUGUUUAUCCCUUAUGAUGCACCCUUCUUGAUUGCGCAGUAGUCGCUUUUUAUUAGGGUGAUCUCUCACUUAAAAUAUCAAAGUAGUUAGUGUUCACCCAAGUGUAGCACCGUCUGAAAUUCGUAUCUUUUCGGGGUGCGCCAUGUACACAUGAGCACGAACGAAUCGAGAGGAAUGAGGUGGGUGAGGUCAGACCUCGCAGCAAGAUCACUUGGUUGUCUUUGACGUUCAGGCAGGAGAGUCCUGAGCUCGGAACACGCCCAUCGAAAGAUGAACAAGAAUCACAUAGAGAUGUGAUCGGCAAGUUGGCCUACCGAUUGGAAUUCGUGUCAUCAGUGAUGAACCCGUCAAUGGCAUCGAAUAGAAAUGUGGAUCUUGAAUCACUCUAAAUCAAUUAUGAGAGAUAUUGAUUUGAGUGGGAGCGCACUGUUGAGUUAACAUGUUUAAUUCUCCGUGCAAUUAAUUAUGAACACUGUCUAAGUGUUUCUUGCAUAAUGGUUGUAGAAUAAUGGCUCGCAUUUCCACCUUCCCUAUUAAAAUUGAAUAGCUGUUAAAUAUCUGGUUAAAACUUUACGAUUGGUAACGUAAUAUGAGGAUUGUCCUCAAAAGUGCCGAGAAGGACUUUGUCCUAUCGCAUGCUUUUCGUAUCCUCCCGCUAAUGCUAUGGAUCAUGUGACUCUCGCCCUGCGAUCCAAAAGCUAGAAUUCUGUUACGGUCAAGUGGAAUAUGUUUGCUUCCAUGAAACCCAAACUUCGAAAGUUGGGAUAGUUAUAUGAUAUUCAUGGAACUGAAAAUUAUUUUCAGAUACAAACAAAGCAAUGUUUGUUUGCAAGUAUUAGUAAAAGUGUUUACUAUGCAUUUGACUGUUGGGAAAGGGAUCCAGAAGAACGCCUGUCAUAUAAUGAAAGGUGAAUAAAACAACAACUUAAAGAGAAAGGAAGUGUCCAAAGGGUGUUAGUAUGACUUACACGCCUAGGAAGUCCGGGGCUAAUGCCACUCUUAAGUUGGAUGCUUCUUCUGAGAGUAGGAGAAAUACUAAAAGUUAAACUGCUAGAAGUAUAAAGGCAAAAGGAAAGAAGACUGGAAUAUCCAGCUCAUGUAUGAAUGUCAUACAAGUUUUUGAUGUAUAGAAGGCUGGUCAAAGAUAUAGUUCUUGCGAAUUAUGGUUAAACAUGUUAAUCACUAAUUCUUGGGUAUUGUGAGUUCAUCACAAAAAUGCCCGCUCGAUUGCAUUGUUGCAACUCGAUGUAAGAACUACUAUGGCCUGAAAGACUAGCUAGAAAUGAGGUUAAGGUAUACACAGGGAACAUAGUAAAUGUUACUAUACCUUCCAUCGGUGUAUUGCCGUCUGUAUUUAUUUUCAUAAUUCAUUUAGAGUUUUACAAACUCUAUCCCAUUGCAUAAGGUAUCUUGCAAGAAGGUUGUUCAUAAGAGAACUUUUUAUGUUCGAUGUUAUGAAUAACACAAGGGCCAUACUUUCAUUAUGAAUGAGAUGUAUGUUAUGAAUAUUGAUAAUAAUACAAUACCUCUGGGUUUACUUUCAUAAUUCAUUUGAGAGUUUCAUACACUCUAGCCCAUUGCACAAUGUUUGUUGAAAAAGAGUUGUUCAUAAAAACAACAAUUGUUGUUAAGUAUUAUGAAUAACAUAAGGGCCAUACUUCCAUCAUCGAUGGGACGUAUGUUAUGAAUAUUGAGGGUAAUAUGAUACAUCCAUAACACUGACGCUAAAUGUCGCAAGACUAAAAGAAUACCACACAAGUGUGGCACUACAUUUGGUCACAUUGGAGAAACCCGCAUGGAAAAUUCCAUUAUGAUGGAUUUUGAAGUCUUUUUGAUUUUGAAUCAUCUGACACUUGCAACUUUCCUCCAAAAAGUGAAGUGACUAAAAUACCGUUCACAGGCCAUAAGGAACGAACAACAAACUUAUUAGUGAUCAUACAUUUGAUGUGUGUAGUCCGAUAAGUGUUGUUAGUGGUGGAUUUAUUUAUCUUCAGAAAUGACUCAAGUAGAUAUACGGAUAUUUACUUGAUGAGACGUAAGUCUGGAUCUCUUGAAAUCAUUCGAAAGGUUCUCAAAAAUGAAGUAGAAGUUAUUGUAACAAGAAAAUUAUGUUUCUGCAAUUUGAUUGCACAAAGGAAUAUUUGAGUUACAUGUUUAGUGAAUGUCUGAUGAGUUGUGAAAGGGGUUUCAUAAACUUGCACCUCCCGGAACACCACUGCAAGUGGAAAGUCCGUGGAGAUGUAAUCAAACCAUUUAUGACAUGGUAAGGUCAAAGAUGACAUAAAUAAAUUUGCCAUUAUCCCUUUUAAAGUGAUGCUUUAGAGACUGCGGCUUUUACACUGAAAAGAGCUACAUCGGGUCUGUUGAUAUGAAGCCAUGGUAUGGUACGCCCAACCAUGUUAUAUCUUUUCUUAACAUUUGGAAUAUGGGGCUUGUGUAAAAGGUUACAAACCUAUUCCAAAUCAGACAAGUGCUACUUUGUAGGUUAUACCAAAAUUUUGGGUAUUCCUCCCUCACUAUACCGAGGCAAAUAGUUUUGCCGCGAAACGGUGUGCUUUUAAAAAGAAUGGUUCUUUCAAAAAGGUGAGUGGGAGAAUAGUGCAACUCGACGAGAUAAAUAGUAUCUACGUCAUCAGAUCAAAGGAAAGAGACCUUGGAAGUAAUUCCAGAGUUUCCUACUGCGUCUGAUACGGAGGUCUCUACAAUAAAAUGUAUGAACUUCGGUCGAACUUGCAGCUGAACCACGUAGGCAAGGCUCGUGCAAACCUCUCAGGUGCGCAAACGAGAUAUUGUUGUUAGACAAUAUUAUACCUACGAUGCACAAGGAAGCGUUGAUGGACCCUGACUCCGGAAUUGGCUAAAUGCCAAUACAACCCGAGUUAGUUUCCAUAUAAGUGAUUCAAGAUUUAAACCUUGAUACACCUUUCGGAAGACUUAGAGUCUAACGAAUAUUUAUGGAACUUAAAACUGAUACGGAUAAAAUGUUUUAUCCAUAAAGCUCGACUUGUUGAAAUAACAAGUUCAAGAGUUGACUACGAUGAGGUUGUUUUCAUCAUAGCGAUGCUUAAAGUCGGUUCGGGUUGAACUAGCAAUUAAUACAUAUUUCAAUCAUGAGAUAUGAAACAUGGAUGAUAAAAGGAUUUCCAUCUGAUGGAAAUGAAAGCUAGGACUUGUAUAUGAUACAGUCCAAAGUAAUUUGUCGAUCCAGAGGAUGCUAGUAGGUAUGCAAACUUCAGAGUUCCAGCAAUGGACAGAAGAGAGCAAAAUGGAGUUGGAAUCUUCGUGUUUUGAUGAAAUGGUCAAAGGGGUUUUGACUUCAUCAAUGGGUAACGAAGAUGCUUGUAAUUCAAGAAAGUAAGUGGGAGCGUAAUAAUAUUUCUAAAAACCUUAUGUGCUUGGCACAUUGGUAAUUGGAAAUAAAUUUCUUGACACAAAUUAGGACUUCAUUUGAAAAUAGUUUUUCGAUGAAGUGCUUAGGCUAAAUAGCCUCAAUAUUAGGCAUGAUGAUCUAUGGAGAUAGAUUUACCUAAUGGGGCUAAGCAAUGAAUACAUAUUGACAAGAUGCUAAAACCUUUUAGCAUUUAAAACGCCAAGGAGUGAUUCUUGCCAAAGUCACAUGGAAAGAGUUUUUGCAAGACUCCGUGUCCCAAAACACUGAUGAGUAAAAUACAUGAUGCAGAUUCCACACACUUUUGUGUUUGGAUUAAUCAUGUAUUCCAUGGUAUGUAAAACAACCAGAUAUGUCCGAUACUCCCAAGGUGUUGCGAGUGUGGAUACCAAAGUGAUCAAAUUACUGAUCAUGGGACAACAGUGAAAGAUGUCACAGAGUACUAGAGUAAGUACUGAUGACAUGGUUUUCUCGCAAGCAGAGAUCAUGAAGAGUUCGUUGUAAAAUGUUACAUCGAUACAGUCUUCAUCUUUUCUCCAUGCGAUUUUUGAUUUAAAUUAAGGGUUUUGUGUAACACACAAUGUGGUGGCACAGUUAGUUGGAAUUUGUUCAAACUAGUUACUGUGGCGAACUCUAUAACAAGGGCUAAGUAUGUUGACGCUUUAGAAGCGACAAAGAAGAUGUUGAACCAUAUAGUUCAUUCAUGAACUUAGUAUAGUUCCAAGAUGGCUUUUGACAAUGGGACACUACUGCAGGUAGUUGCUCCAUAACUCAGUCUGAGGAAUCCAGGUUCGACCUGUGAUUCACAUACAUACAAAGCCAAGUCCACACAAAAUAUGAAUUUUGUGAAAACGUGAAAACGCGAGGACAUGCAAAGAUACACACGGAACUGAAGUCGUCAGAUCCGUUGGACAUCAGGCUAUACCACAAGCGAAGCAUAUUUACACCGGUGUGCCACAGGUGUGAAGUGCAUUAGCAUAAACUAGAUUAUUGACUCUAGUGCAAGUGGGAGUCUGUAGGAGAUAUGCCCUAGAGGCAAUAAUAAAUGAUAUUAUUUAUCUCCGAGUUCAUAAUUAUGUUUAUGUUCCAUGCUAUAACUGCAAUGAUUCUCGAGUCUGCAAUAUCCACGAGGCUCGGAGGAAGACUCAUAUGCACGUGUGGAAUAAUAAACGGUAAGAAGUAUUCCUAGUCUGGCCUCUAAGACUAGCUCAAGUGUUGCAUGAUGGUUCUGUUUUCCUGAUCAUGGGCAUGUCUAUGCCAGCAAUUUUGAGGGCACAAUGUUAAGAGAACAUUUGUGUUGAAUUGACCCGGAUUGAUGUUAUGCUAAGAGAUUCAUUCGUCACAAGUUUAUUGGUACAUAACACAGAGAUGGUUAACGUUUGCAUGAUUCCUUAGACCAUGAGAGUAUCGAGUUUCUUCAUGCUUGCUUCAUGAACCUUGGGGUUUGUUAAACGUCAUCCGUAAAUGGGUGGCUAUUACGGCGGCUUACGGGUUCAUGGAAAAGUGUGUCAAGUAACUUGAUAGCUCAAGAUUGGGAUUUGCUCCUCCGACGAUGGAGAGAUAUACUCGGGCCCACUCGGUGUUACGGUGUCCAUCAUCGUCUGGCCAGACACUUUGUGAUUUGAUCACGGGGAUGCCGGAACACGAAACGAGAAAAGAGAACAAAACCAGUAACGAGGUAACUUGCAUAGUGGACAAAGUGUUGGCCCACGGGGAUGCAAUAAAUCUCACCUCAGGUGUUUGUGAUAUAUCGUGAAGCAACAGGAAUAGCUCACCUCAACUGGAGGUUCACUCGAAUAUUCAUUCGUGUGGGUAUAGGGGUCAAUAUGGGUGUCCAUGGCUCCGAUGUUGAACAUUGAUCGGAAGGGGUUCCAGGUCAUGUCUAUACUUCACCGAACCUAUAGGGUCACACGCUUAAGGGUCAUCUAUCUGCUGAAUACUAGACAGGGAGUUUGAGAGAAAAUCACCGAAAAAGUUUCGGACACCGAAAAGUUUCGGACAGCGGAAUCGUACCGCAGAGAGAGGUCAUCGGAUAAGUUUCGAUGAUACCGAAAAGUUGUUUUGGGAUACACCAAUAAGUCAAAUUGGUUUCGGCACAUGCCUGAUAAUUCUUGGAGGAUGCCAGAAUCAUUCUGGAAGCUUUUUGGAAUUUUCUGAGAUAAAAACCGGAAAUGUUCCGGAGCUGCCGGUACCGCUUUGGCUGUUUUUCGCAGAUGAAAUUGACUAAUCUGAAAUUGUUUCAGAACGAAUCCAAAAUCAUUUUAGUGGGUACUGGAAUUAUUCUAAGACCCACAGAAAUAUUUUCGGAUUUAGUGGACGCGAAAAAUUGUCUUCAUGAAUAGUGAAAACGCAUUCUUGUUUGCUUUUCGCAGAUGAAAAUCACUAAACCGAAAUUGUUUCGGAACGCGUUGAAAAUUAUUUUAGUGGGUACUGGAAAUGUUCUGAGCCCACAUAAAUAUUUUCAGUUCGAACGGACGCUGAAAAAUGUCGUCAUGAAUAGUGAAAGUGCUUUUUGCUUGGCUUCUUGGAGAAGCCACCUUGAGGGCCUUUUUGGUAUUUUCCCCCUUGGCUUCUUGGAGAAGCCACCCUUGGGCUUGGCCUAUAAAUAGGGGUGGAGGGGGCUGCCUAAAGGAUCAUCCCUUGCUCUCAUACACAUGCCAUGCAUUAUCUGGCUUCUUCUCUCCCUCCCACGAAAAGAGUUUCGUAGAGCCGAAAGGCUGUCUGGGUUCCGGUGGGAACUAGUUCUGGACGGCGAAGCCCUGCCGGAUAGAUGACACCGUAUGUGUGCAACUCUGUAGAGAGAUCGUAGUUUCGGUCUUAGUUCGUGAGUGCCUCCCGAAGGGCUGUCCGUGUGACCGUCCGAGUUUCGAAGGUCCUCCCGAAGGGCUGUCCGAGUGACCGUUCGAGUUUCGAAGGUCCUCCCGAAGGGCUGUCCGCGACACCAUCUGGGAGGCUGUUCGACCGCCUCCCGGAGGGCUGUCCGAGGAGCAGAUGAGGGUAUACAUCCUCGCGGUUGGGAGGUUGUAAAUCCUAGCUGCGGAGAUCUGCACCGCCGAUCGUCAUCGACUCUACUUCCCGCUGCGCUACGAGUCGGUAACGAAAAAGAUCAAACCAUGUAUGCAGUCUCCAUAGUGGUCCUGGGCUGGUGCGUAGGUCGGAAAAAUUUUAUUUUCUGCUGCGUUACCCUACACUGUGAUCGCCGACACUUGGGAAGACAAGCAAGAACUUCAAGCCUGCUUUCCAGAAGCUGAGGCUUGGGGGCAAGCCUCAUCACAAGAAGGAGGGGGUGUCAAGGCCACUGGCAGGAGGGCUCCAUCAACUGACAGCCUCACGGACCCGUAUGCGCUACGGCCCAACCGCCAGCGACGGCCCAACCCAAAGGUGCAUGGGCCAGAGUGGGUGUGAUCUGCCAACCGCUCCCUAUACCUACAUGCUGGCGUAGAAGCGAAGACUCAUCCAGUGGAUCACGAACCCGGCGGCGGCGGCACCCUGUUCUCCCCCCAAUUCAUGUAUGUGAGAUUGUAAUCCACUAUUGCUACAAGAAUUCGUAUGUGAGAGUCAUAGAUCGAGAGAGAUAUUGUUAGGCUGCUAACAGACCACGCGUCCCACACGAGGCUGUUGCACAUGUCCCUGGAGGCCCACGUGCGACGGAAGGAACCAGAGAGAACGCGAUGUGUCGCCGCUGUCCUCCACCUUAUCUCCUCGUCUCUCGAGUCGACCACACAAAUUUGUUUCCCAUAGUCGCCGCCGGCGAUUUUUCUGUCGCGCUCACGCCAACAUCCUCUCCCGUCAUGCCGUCGAAAAUUUUAUUGCGCCGUGCUCGGCCCGAGCCUCCUCUCCCGUCGUGGCGUCGACCCAUAGCCAUGGCCGCCUCCCCCGUCCUCCUCCUCACCGUAGUGUGUCGUGUGGGGGCUGAGGGGAGCUGCGUUCGCCAUGGUGGGGAGCUGGAACCGGCGACGGGCAGGUAGAGCUCCCGAGCCGAGUGGCGUGUGAAAAAGGGAAGUACCUGGUCCUAGUGGCGGAGCGUGUGACGACCAGCGGGGGAACCAGUAGUAGAAAACGGAUCAUUUGUCUCCGGUUCACAGGUCCAUUAGCCCCGGUUCUGGAACCGGGACUAAGGUGUUGUUUGGCUAGUAGAUAUUAGCCACGGGAAUAUAUAAAACGAGUUUCUAGCCGAUGUUUCGCAAAAACUGGUUUUACUAAUUUUUCGGUUAAUAAUCA
rnacentral:lncRNA from 1 species